rnacentral:rRNA from 1 species
AAUUGCUAGUAAUCGCGGAUCAGCAUGCCGCGGUGAAUACGUUCCCGGGUCUUGUACACACCGCCCGUCACACCAUGGGAGCCGGUAACACCCGAAGUCAGUAGUCUAACCCUCGUGGAGGACGCUGCCGAAGGUGGGAUUGGCGACUGGGGUGAAGUCGUAACAAGGUAAC